UAAAUAUGAUAAAAUAUAGUAAAACUAUGUUAAAUUCGCUAAAAAAAACGAAGAAAACUAACCAAAAUAAUUGAAAAAUAACUGAUUAUAUAUGCGAAGGAUGUAAUUAAAGGUGAAACGAGACUAAAGACCGAAAAUCGGCGAACUAUGUUAAAAUAUAACAAAACUAUGUAAAAUUCACUCAAAAACGAGUAAAACCAAUCAAAAACAUUGACAAAUAACUGAUUUGAGUGACAAAACCAAAAAUUUCGUUAACGCAAAGAGUGAAAAACGAGUCAAACCAACCAAAAAA
rnacentral:lncRNA from 1 species